AUUGAACGCUGGCGGCAUGCCUUACACAUGCAAGUCGAACGGCAGCACGGGAGCAAUCCUGGUGGCGAGUGGCGAACGGGUGAGUAAUAUAUCGGAACGUGCCCAGUCGUGGGGGAUAACGUAGCGAAAGCUACGCUAAUACCGCAUACGAUCUAUGGAUGAAAGCGGGGGAUCGCAAGACCUCGCGCGAUUGGAGCGGCCGAUAUCAGAUUAGGUAGUUGGUGAGGUAAAGGCUCACCAAGCCGACGAUCUGUAGCUGGUCUGAGAGGACGACCAGCCACACUGGGACUGAGACACGGCCCAGACUCCUACGGGAGGCAGCAGUGGGGAAUUUUUGGACAAUGGGCGCAAGCCUGAUCCAGCAAUGCCGCUGCAGGAUGAAGG
rnacentral:rRNA from 1 species